AGUAUCAGGUGAUGAGAUCUUGAAAAAAUCUUAGGACACCUUCUGACACAGUGCUAUUUUCCUGUGAAUGAGAUGUCGUUUGUAUUCUGAUGAUACU